rnacentral:rRNA from 1 species
GACGAACGCUGGCGGUGUGCUUAACACAUGCAAGUCGAACGGUAAGGCCCUUUCGUGGGUACACGAGUGGCGGACGGGUGCGUAACACGUGCGUAACCUGCACUUAUCUCUGGGAUAACAGUCGGAAACGGUUGCUAAUACUGGUUAUGAGCCUGCUAUGCAUCUUGUUGGUUGGAAAGAUUUUGUGGUUGGUGAUGGAUUCGCUGCGUAUCAGCUUGUUGGUGUGGUUGUGGCUCACCAAGGCGUCGUCGGGUAGCCGCACUGUGAGGGCGACCGGCCAUACUGGGACUGAGAGACGGCCGAAACACCUACGGUAGGCAGCAGGGGGGAAUAUUGAACAAGGGACGGAAGGCUGAUGCAGCAGCGCCGCGGGCGGUAUGACGCCCUUCGUGUUGUAAACCGCAUUCAAAUGUGACGAAGCAUUUUGUGACGGUAGCAGUAGAAGAAGCACCGGCUAACUACGUG